AUGCUCAAUGGCCAAACAAUAAAGUGUCACCAGCCAGAGGCCUAUAAAUAUCUAGGCAUAUUACAGCUGGACAACAUCAAGCAUGAACAUGUGAAAACUGUGGUCAGCAAAGAAUACACACAAAGGGUCAGAAAAAUUCUCAAAAGCAAGCUCAAUGGAGGCAACACCAUCAAGGCCAUAAACACCUGGGCCAUACCUGUCAUAAGAUAUACUGCUGGCAUUAUAAAUUGGACACAGGUGGAACUGGACAAUUUGGACAGAAAAACAAGAAAACUCAUGACCAUUCACCAUUCACUGCACCCUCGCAGUGAUAUUGACCGGCUAUAUCUGCCUAGAAGAUCAGGGGGCAGAGGACUCCUACAAGUAAAACAAGCAGUCAAAGAAGAAGAACAUGCCCUGGCAGAAUAUGUCAAGCAAAGUGAAGAACCUGCUUUGAUUGAAGUCAAAAAUCAGAAACUCCUCAAAACACAGCAGACAAAAAACCAGUACAAGAAAACCGCACUUCAAACUAGAGCUGACAGCUGGCACAACAAAACACUGCAUGGAAAGUUCCUUGACAAAAUUGAAAGAAAAGCUGAUAAGGAGAAGACCUGGCUGUGGCUCAUGAAUGGGACCCUGAAGAAGGAGACAGAAGGCCUGAUCCUUGCAGCCCAGGAGCAAGCCAUCAGAACAAAUGCAAUUAAGGCCAAGAUUGAAAAAUCAGCUGAUGACCCAAAAUGCAGACUGUGCAAGGAAACCGACGAAACCAUUGAUCAUAUCCUCAGCUGCUGUAAGAAAAUCGCACAGACAGACUACAAACAGAGGCACAACUAUGUGGCCCAAAUGAUUCAUUGGAAUUUAUGCCUCAAGUACCACCUGCCAGCAGCAAAGAACUGGUGGGAUCACAAACCUGCAAAAGUAUUGGAAAAUGAGCACGCAAAGAUACUGUGGGAUUUCCGAAUCCAGACUGACAAAGUUCUGGAACACAACACACCAGACAUCACAGUUGUGGAAAAGAACAAGGUUUGGAUCAUUGAUGUUGCCAUCCCAGGUGACAGUCGCAUAGAUGAAAAACAACAGGAAAAACUCAGCCGCUAUCAGGACCUCAAGAUUGAACUUCAAAGACUCUGGCAGAAACCAGUCCAGGUGGUCCCGGUGGUGAUGGGUACACUGGGUGCCGUGCCAAAAGAUCUCAGCCGGCAUUUGGAAACAAUAGACAUUGACAAAAUCACCAUCUGCCAACUGCAAAAGGCCACCCUACUGGGAUCUGCACACAUCAUCAGAAAAUACAUCACACAGUCCUAG
rnacentral:lncRNA from 1 species